rnacentral:rRNA from 1 species
CCUACGGGUGGCAGCAGUGAGGAAUAUUGGUCAAUGGUCGGGAGACUGAACCAGCCAAGCCGCGUGAAGGAUGAAGGUACAGAGUAUCGUAAACCUCUUUUGUCAGGGAACAAAGGCGGGGACGCGUCCCCGGAUGAGUGUACCUGAAGAAAAAGCAUCGGCUAACUCCGUGCCAGCAGCCGCGGUAAUACGGAGGAUGCGAGCGUUAUCCGGAUUUAUUGGGUUUAAAGGGUGCGCAGGCGGUCUGUUAAGUCAGCGGUAAAAGCCCGGGGCUCAACCCCGGCCCGCCGUUGAAACUGGCAGUCUCGAGUUGGAGAGAGGUACGCGGAAUGCGCGGUGUAGCGGUGAAAUGCAUAGAUAUCGCGCAGAACUCCGAUUGCGAAGGCAGCAUGCCGGCUCCACACUGACGCUGAGGCACGAAAGCGUGGGUAUCGAACAGGAUUAGAUACCCUUGUAGUC